rnacentral:lncRNA from 1 species
AGAUACGCGGCACCUGUUUCCCAAGUAUCAAUUGCUCAGGCAAUUAACACGUUUAAUAAAAGAAUUAAUACGUAAACGAUAUUUAUUUCGUAAGAUAUCUGAUGUGCUGUCGUUUUUCCAAAAAGGAGACUUUGUUGAAAAAUCGAAAUGUACCCGUAACAGGAUAACAGAUAAGUUAGGAAGUUGUAUUGCACGUGAUCCCAAAGGAAUCAUGUCAAGAUAGGAGGACAAACAAAUCCAUCGGGGAUGGUUGUAUACUUCGUUUUCCAUGACCUGGGUCAAUCUGGAAAUACGAGGAACAAGAUUUUUGUUGGACGAGAAAAUUCCGAUACCGGGAGAACGAAUUUCCCUCACUAUUAGGAGGCCAUGUUCUAGCGGAAGCUGAAAAUCCGGGAGAGCUUUGCCCGUGGGAUACUCUCGAUUCAAUGAGAUCCUGCUAAAUCCCGAUCAGAAAUCAGUACUAUGGAUAAAUAUACAAGCGCAAUUCUAUAGUGAAAAUAAAUUGAUUUCUUCGAUAUUACGAAGUGCAAUUUACUGAUUGUAAUUUAUAUAAUGCAAGUUUCUAUUAUUCUCUUUUUUGAAUAGAAAAAAUAGGGCAAAGUGUAUAAAUAGGAGAAUUGCCCUAAAGAAGUUGACAGCAUCGUUUCUGAGGCCCUGGUAAAGAAACUCUCCUCCACUCCUCCAAGCUGGUAUUUUCCACGUACUCAUUGCAUUCGAUGAACGAUCAGAUAUCUGAGGUGGCAGCUGCUGCAUCAGUAGGUAGAAAAAGUGUCAAUUCGUCCGAAAAUCCAGGACUAGCGUACCAGGCGGUCAGGACGAUUCAAAGUGCCUCUAUAACAAGGUGACCGGAAUUCUGAUUCCCUUGGGAUUCUCCCGGGAAUGGAAUAGCCGCGACAAGCAAGGGAGAAGCGAAUUUCCUCGUGUUCAAAGGAAGAAAAGGAAUAGGCGGUAAGUUAUCAGGAGUUCAGGCUAGCUGAAGGUAUCCUAAGGAAACCGAGUGGAAGAGGGUGGCUUUCGCUCAACCGCAAGGGUUGCUGUUCGAUAAAAGGGUGGUUAUUUAGAAAUCCAAAGACACAGAAAAUUAUACAUCCCCCAAUUUUCAGUCAAUAGCGUUAACUCUACGAUGUCAGAAUGCGGAAAAAGAAAUAAAUGGUUUAUACGGAAAAGAAUAAUAUAGUAUCGAUCGCACGGGAAAUUUAAAAGAAGAUAUACUUCACGAAUUUAAUAUCACGAUAUUGGAAGGGAUUGAUGCUCGGUCCUUGAUGUAGGUCGAUACCUGGAACCUGGAAGUUUCGACGGUGCAAUCGACACGGUUCGAUGAAGUUACGAGGGCAUAACGUUACGUAUAGAACGUAAACGUAAAGCGAGAAGUGUAGCACGUAAGUCGUAAACGCUGGUAGUUGGUAGAACGGCAUCCAAUACGGAUACAAUCGCACCUAGAUGUACAAUGUACGUACACCGUCGCGUUCCUGAAACGUAUAAAGUUUCAGCAACGUCAAGUGGUAGUAGAAUGAUAGAAUGUGUACAGCCGAGGAAGGAUAUUCGAGUUUUACGCUCGAAGCGGUAGAAGUUAAAGAGCGUUUCAUACGAAAGGACCCUCUGGGUUUCAUCGGAAAAGCUCCGCCGCGAUUCACGCAGAAACGAUAAAACGGAAAUGAGUUUGUAACUCGGAAUGAAUCGGGAAUUAUAGUAGGUUGAAAUUUUUCUUUCGAAAGUGGCUGAUUUUGUGAAAUAUUCCUUGAAAAAUUUUAUGCGAGUCAAUAAGCGACGUUUUGUAUUCGCCUGCAAUUUUUAUUAAUGAAGUUUUUUAU